rnacentral:rRNA from 1 species
GACGAACGCUGGCGGCGUGCUUAACACAUGCAAGUCGAACGAUGAAGCCCUGCUUGCUGGGUGGAUUAGUGGCGAGCGGGUGAGUAACACGUGGGCAACCUGCCCCAAACUCUGGGAUAACUCCUCGAAAGAGGUGCUAAUACCGGAUACGAACUAGACAGACAUCUGUACUAGUUGGAAAGUUUUUCGGUUUGGGAUGGGCCCGCGGCCUAUCAGCUUGUUGGUGAGGUAACGGCUCACCAAGGCUACGACGGGUAACCGGCCUGAGAGGGGGACCGGUCACACUGGGACUGAGACACGGCCCAGACUCCUACGGGAGGCAGCAGUGGGGAAUAUUGCGCAAUGGGCGAAAGCCUGACGCAGCGACGCCGCGUGAGGGAUGAAGGUCUUCGGAUCGUAAACCUCUUUCAGUAGGGACGAAGCGAAAGUGACGGUACCUAAAGAAGAAGCACCGGCUAACUACGUGCCAGCCGCCGCGGUAA